GACGAACGCUGGCGGCGUGCUUAACACAUGCAAGUCGAGCGGUAAGGCCCUUUCGGGGGUACACGAGCGGCGAACGGGUGAGUAACACGUGGGUGACCUGCCCUUAGCUCUGGGAUAAGCCUGGGAAACUGGGUCUAAUACCGGAUAUGACUCCAUAACGCAUGUUGUGGGGUGAAAGCCUUGUGCGGCUAGGGAUGGGCCCGCGGCCUAUCAGCUUGUUGGUGG
rnacentral:rRNA from 1 species